GUAGGUGGCAAGCGUUGUCCGGAAUUAUUGGGGCGUAAAGCGCGCGCAGGCGGUCCUUUAAGGUCUGAUGUGAAAGCCCACGGGCUCAACCGUGAGGGUCAUUGGAAACUGGGGGACUUGAGUACAGAAGAGGAAAGCGGAAUUCCAAGUGUAGCGGUGAAAUGCGUAGAGAUUUGGAGGCACACCAGUGGCGAAGGCGGCUUUCUGGUCUGUAACUGACGCUGAGGCGCGAAAGCGUGGGGAGCAAACAGGAUUAGAUACCCUGGUAGUCCACGCCGUAAACGAUGAGUGCUAAGUGUUAGGGGGUUUCCGCCCCUUAGUGCUGCAGCUAACGCAUUAAGCACUCCGCCUGGGGAGUACGGCCGCAAAGGCUGA
rnacentral:rRNA from 1 species